CGUUAUAUAACAUUAAAAUCAUAAAAGAAAAAAAUCAUCGUGCAUAUAUUCACGAUUUUAUUUAUUAUUUAAAUUAUAAUCAAUAUCAAGUAUGAUGUAAUAUUAAUAAAUAGUUAAAAAUGUUAAACGAUCGUCUUUAUGGAGAUAGUCGAUAAAGGAAAUGACGAAUCGAAAAAUUGGCGCGCAUUUACAUCUUUCGUAACGAGAUUCGACUCGUGGAAGAAACGCAAAAUAAUCGCGCAAUCGGCAAAGGUACUUGUUUGCCGUUCGCAUUUGAACCGAUGUUAUAUCAUUUUCUUGCACGAUGAACGUUGGCUAGAUCGUCUGAGAUCGAGCCAAUAAGAACCUUGAAACGAUUUUCCUGUCAAAACUCGAUUAAUUCGAUUAUUGGAUUCAAGGUUCAAUUAUAUUCGAUCGAAGCCAAAUAAUUAAGCGAAAGCUUGUUAAUUUUUUUUUUUCGCUUUUGUAAACUUUUGACAAAGGGAAUAUACAUUUUUCAUAGAUAGACAUUGCUUGCACGAUCCUCCCCGUUACAGUAUAUACAUAGUUAUCGCUGCAAGAGGAAAGAAACCAAGAAGAAUCGUAAGAAUCACGUGUGAGCCCGGUCGAUUAUUUGACGAACACGUUGCGAUCACGCGGCUUCGUCUCUGCGCUACGUCUCGCCAUCGGAGUUUCACGAUCCGCCCCGAAUCGAGCCGCCUAGCCUGAACAACCAGAUGGCUCUGUAUAGUAUAUGUACAAUCUCGAUGGAAAUGUAUCGUAUCCUCCUUUCACGAUCGCCUCGAAAGUAACGCGAUUUCAUAUUAAAUUCUCUCGACCCGCGACUCGAGCCAAUUAGAUCGAAAUAUUGCCGCAAUUCAGUGCAAUUAAAAGGUUUUCGCCGUUCUAAUUAAGCAGUAUAUACAUUCGGAUUAAACGAAAUGAUUUUUUUUUCUUUUUCCGUUAAGAAUUUAUCGUAUCUUCGAAAUAUGCUUCGAGCGUGAUACAAUAAUAGCUUAAAUCCUUAAAGUAAAUCUUCAAUAAUUGAAUGUUUCGCAAUGAGUUUUCUUCGUGAAAUUUUUAAAAAGGAAAUUCAAUCGAAUGAACUUGAUCGGAAAUAAAACAUGUGUAAAUUUAUCUACAUUGCGAUACGCAUUUACAUACUUCUAAUAUCAUAUGAUGUACUACAAAGAAUAAAAGUUUGCCUGGACUAUGGAAUCAUGUGAAUGUUAUUGUUUUAUCGUUCGAGUAAUCCGUCGGAAUAUUUCUAUAUUUCUAUCUGUGACACUAUCUAAACGGAACUACAUUGAACUGAUACACUACACUGUGCAACCGCAAUUAAUCGGCCAAAAAAAAAAAAAGAAAAUUUGAUUAG